rnacentral:tRNA from 3 species
GUCGCCAUAGGUAAAUGGAUAUACCCCGGUCCUCCUAAGACUGCAUUGCAGGUUCGAUUCCUGCUGGCGACACCA